rnacentral:lncRNA from 1 species
CGGGGAGUGGUACACGUCGGAGUAAUUCUCGUCCUCUUCCUUGGCGAAGGUGUGCGGGAGGUGAUUGGCGCCUACGACGAUGGGAGACGGCGGCGAGGUGCGGAGGGAGUCGAGGGAGAGGUAGAAGAGGGAGAGGAAAGUGAGGACGGCGAGGGUGAGGAGUGAUCCUUUGAGGGAACACAGCGGCGAGGAGGAGGAGGAGGAAGAGAGCUGCGACGGUUUGACGAUCGUCAUUCGGACCGGACUGGAUCUGUACUAAAA